rnacentral:lncRNA from 1 species
CUACUCCUUAUCUUCUGUGACUUCCCAGGCCACGGAAAAGGUUCAGAAGUAGAUUCUGGUGCAGUUGGCUGUAAGUGGUAAGUGUGGUUAUGAAAUACGUGUUGAAAUGUAAGAUCUCCAUGGAAAUCAGAAUCACUUUGAUCCAAGUGACAAAGCUUACUGGGUUCUGGGUAGUAGCCACCUACAGCACCUUCUAAGUCAUGAUGGGAACUAGAUUCAUGGUCAGUGCAAUAACCUAUAGCACCUUCAUCACACACAGAGUGAGAGGAAUUAGACUUGAUGACAGAGGUAUUAUUGUGACUUGAAUCUAAAGAAAGGCCAGAAUCAGAAUCUGGUUCAUCAAAAAGCUGAGAAACAUCGAUUGGAUCAAAGUUGUCUUCUGUGGCCAAUGACAUUAAGUUUAUCUCAUCAAAUAUAUUUAUGUCAAGGUCAUACAGUAGGUCUUGGCUUGUUAGAUUCCUCAUAUGAUUGUCAACCGGUGAAAGAAAUCCUGUCAAAUUAGUUCCAGGAAGGGUUUGCUCAGGAUUGGUGGUAUGAGAAUUUAACUGCAGAAAUGGUUCUUGUGACUGUGAAGUCCUUGCUGUUGGAUCUCUUCUAAAUGUAUUGUUGGGACAAAGCAAGAUGGCCUCAUGAAGAUUCACAUCCUGACUUAUAGCCUGGCUGAAGUUUACAUGAUAAUGUGCUGAAGAAUUCAUGCCAUCACUGAUACUGCCUGGAAGAGGAAUAUCUCCCAAUGAGAUGCCCUGAAAAACGAAGGAGAAACACUUCAAACAUGAAUAGCCCUAUUUCUGAAGCAGUUCUAUUACCUAACAACUUUCUUUCCCCUCUUUUGUCAAUUCCUCUACAUUUAAUAGAGAUAGAUGCUGUUGGCAGUAACUUCCUAGUUAAAUACAGGCAAUACAAUACGAGAUGUGAGUCCAAAUCAGAAUACCUGGAAUUCUGAGUAACCUAGAAAUUAAGAUGGAUUAGUAUAAAAGCUGACUGGAUUUUCUUAAAAAGUCUAAUGUUACAAUCUUGUAAUUUGCUACUUUAUAAUAAGAUGCAACUCAUCCUAGCGGUUGGUAAUCACAUUGUGGAGGGUCAGGGAUAAUAAACUACAGUGAAGUAGUCUGGAGGAGAGAGGCUGUUUAAAUGCCUCUAAGCGCUAAAACUACAAGGCUAUUGUGAAUAUUGCUGCAAUAAACAUGGGGGUGCAGGUGUCCCUUUGAUACACUGAUUUCCUUUCCUUUGG